rnacentral:ncRNA from 1 species
UAAAAGACUAUGAAUUGGUAAGUAGAAUGUUUAAACCAUUAUAGAGAGGGUUUCAUUGGUGGAAGAAAUCCAUGGAAUUUGCAUUUGAAGUGCACCAAGGAGUUUUUAACCGAAGAAUAAGUAGGCUUAAACGGUAUUUCCCGUUAUAGAAAUAGGGUAUGAAUGUGCCCGAAAGAGAUGGAUUUGUUCUAAACAGAGUGGAACCGUGAAAGUGAACCUUUUGCCUCUGAA